rnacentral:rRNA from 1 species
AUUGAACGCUGGCGGCAGGCCUAACACAUGCAAGUCGAACGAGUGGCGGAUGGGUGAGUAAUGUCUGGGAAACUGCCCGAUGGAGGGGGAUAACUACUGGAAACGGUAGCUAAUACCGCAUACCAUCGGAUGUGCCCAGAUGGGAUUAGUUAGUAGGUGGGGUAACGGCUCACCUAGGCGGCGAUCCCUAGCUGGUCUGAGAGGAUGACCAGCCACACUGGAACUGAGACACGGUCCAGACGCCUACGGGAGGCAGCAGUGGGCAAUAUGGCACAAUGGGGGCAAGCCUGAUGCAGCCAUGCCGCGCGUAAGAAGAAGGCCUUCGGGUUGGAAAGUACUUUCAGCGGUGAGGCGUUACUCGCAGAAGAAGCACCGGCUAACUCCGUGCCAGCAGCCGCGGUAAUAC